GGGAGCGUCCACGACGCGAAUCUAUACGUGCAGGUGUAUAGUGUUCGCGUAGGUUGCAUGUUUUUUUAAUUCAGA